rnacentral:rRNA from 1 species
UACGAAGGGUGCAAGCGUUAAUCGGAAUUACUGGGCGUAAAGGGUGCGUAGGCGGUUCGUUAAGUCUGUCGUGAAAUCCCCGGGCUCAACCUGGGAAUGGCGAUGGAUACUGGCGAGCUAGAGUGUGUCAGAGGUUGGUGGAAUUCCCGGUGUAGCGGUGAAAUGCGUAGAGAUCGGGAGGAACAUCAGUGGCGAAGGCGGCCAUCUGGGACAACACUGACGCUGAAGCACGAAAGCGUGGGGAGCAAACAGG